rnacentral:miRNA from 1 species
GCAGACACAUUCCAUCCAAUCAGUAGCAGACCCUCCCUCCCAGACCCUCCCACCUCCUGGACAGCAUCCAUUUUACAUUCAUUGUGAAGCUGCAUUCUUAGUGAGCUGUCCAGGAGGUGGAAGGGUCUGGGAGGGAGGGUCUGCUGCUGAUUGGCUGGAAUGUGUCUG